rnacentral:tRNA from 1 species
GGGGUUGUGGCUCCGUGGUAGAGCGCUUGCCUAGCAUGUGAGAGGCACUGGGUUCAAGUCUCAGCACCACA